CUACGGGCCGCACCAGUCGAGAAUCUUUGGCAAUGGACGAAAGUCUGACCAUGCGACGCCGCGUGCAGGAUGAAGGUCUUCGGAUUGUAAACUGCUGUCACGAGGGAAGAACAGCUUUAAUUCAAAUAGUUUUAGAGUUUGACGGUACCUCGAGAGGAAGCCACGGCCAACUCCGUGCCAGCAGCCGCGGUAAUACGGAGGUGGCGAGCGUUGUUCGGAAUUACUGGGUGUAAAGAGCGUGUAGGCGUUUUAGUAAGUCAGGGGUGAAAUUCCAAGGCUCAACCUUGGAACUGCCUCUGAAACUACUAGAAUUGAGUUCGGAAGAGGAAAGCGGAAUUUCCGGUGUAAGGGUGAAAUCUGUAGAUAUCGGAAAGAACACCAGUGGCGAAGGCGGCUUUCUGGUCCGAAACUGACGCUGAGACGCGAAAACUAGGGGAGCGAACAGGAUUAGAUACCCGUGUAGUC
rnacentral:rRNA from 1 species